GUCAAAAAGGAAUAGAAUGGAACAGACUAGACUGGAAUACAAGAAAGAUGCAAUAUUCUCGUAUUAAGAGUAAAUGCUAUUCUGUAAAAAUGCUUCCAUUUUAUAUAUUGCGAUAGAGGCUGCAAGUUUUCCAUCAAUCCAUUCUCCUCUUCUGAUCUUAAUAAUCAAAUCCCUGGCCGGACGUGGUGGCUCACACCUGUAAUCCCAGCACUUUGAGAGGCCCAGGCGGGCGGAUCACGAGGUCAGGAGAUCGAGACCAUCCUGGCUAACAUGGUGAAACCCUGUCUGUACUAGAAAA
rnacentral:lncRNA from 1 species